rnacentral:lncRNA from 1 species
UAAACCUAUAUAGUAUGUUAUACUGAAUACCAUAGACAAUGUUUAACAUGAUGGUAAGGGUAUAAAUACCUAAACACAGAAAUGAUACAGUAGGAACAUUAUAUAUAAAAUUUAAAAAUAUCAAGGCGCUAUGGUGCACGCCUGUAAUUCCAGUGGCUCAGGAAGCUUAGGCAGGAGGAUCACGAGUUCAAAGCCAGCCUCAGCAAAAAACAAGGCGCUGAGCAACUCAAUGAAACUCUGUUUCUAAAAAAAAUACAAAAAAUAGGGAUGGAGAUGUGGCUCAGUGGCUGAGUGCCCCUGGGUUCAAUACCCGGUACCCAAAAUAAAUAAAAUAAAUGGUACACCUGUGAAGGGCACUUACCACAGAUACAACUUGCAGGACUUGAUGUUGCUAUUGGUGAAUCAGUGAGAGAUCUGUGAUUGAAUGUGAAGUUUUAGGACAUAAUUGGGCACUACUACAGACUUUAUAAACUCUAUAAACUUAGAUUAUACUAAAUUCGUAAAAAUAUUUUCUUUCCACAAGGAUAACCUAAGCUUGCUGUAACUUUUACUUUGUAAACUUUGAUUUUUUAAAAAAUCUUUUUAAAUCUUGUGAUAACACUUAUCUUGGCACUUUGUACAGCUGUGUAAAAAUAUUUUCUUUACAUAUUCUAUAAACUUCUAUAUUACUAUUUUAUUUAUUUAUUUAUUUAUUUAUUUAUUUAUUAGUUUUUAAACUUUGUUAAAAGCUAAGGUACAAACACACACCUCACCCUAGGCCUACACAGGGUCAGGAUCACCAAUAUCACUCUCUUCCAUUUCAACAUCUGUCUGGUGGAAAUUCUCCAGGGGCAAUAACACAGAGUUUUCCUUUUCUAUGAUGAUGCUUUUUUCCUGGAAUCCCUCCUGAAGGACCUGACUGAGACUAUUCUUCAGGAGGUGUCAAGAUUUUUCAUAAAUAUUGGGGGUUUGCUUCUUUUCUUUUCAUUAUAGAAUUGCUUGUGAGCAGGUAAUAUAUACCUUGAACAUUCUUCUCUAUUAAUGAAAACAUGAUUAUUGGGGUCCGUGUUUUCAAACUUUUAAAGAAAAGCUUAUCGAGGACUGCAGCUCUCUUCUAAACCCUUCACUGAUUUUUUUUCCUCCUUCUGAGUUUUUUUCCACCCUCUUGCCCUUUUGUUAGGUAUGCAUUUACUCUGUGAUAGGCAUUUUUAAGCUCUGUUAUGUUGGUAUAGAAUCAACAUAGGAUAUGUGGCCCAUUGUUAACUGACAUGUUAGGCAAUGCAUGACUAUAUUGUUAAGCAGUAUUAUCUAAGUUCAAUAGUUAUUGGGGUUUUUUUUAAAGUUUGUUAAUAAAAUUUUUUUCUAUCAUUUUUUGUGUUGAGUCUGAAGGUGAGUUGGAAUGUACUUCUAAUAAGGUAUGUUUAAUUUUUAUAUAAAUGUAUGAUUUUUCUGUGAUAGACCAUUGAAAAAUGAGUCUUAGCAAAUUGUUGGGAUUUUCUUACUGUUCUUAAUGUGGCAAGUUUUGGAACAUCUUCAUGCAUUACAUAUCUCUACCUUUUUUAUGGUAAAAGCUACUUCUUUUGGGUGCUCAUAAAGUCUAUUCCAUUUUCUUUGCUAAUAAAGAGUUGGUAUCAAGUAUGUAAAG